rnacentral:misc_RNA from 1 species
AAGUCGUAACAAGGUUUCCGUUGGUGAACCAGCGGAAGGAUCAUUACAGAGAUCAUGCCUUCCGGGGGUAGACCUCCCACCCUGUGUUAUUUACUCUUGUUGCUUUGGCAGGCCGCUUUGGGCUCCCGGCUUCGGCUGGGGCGCGCCUGCCAGAGGACCCAUAUUCUAUGUUUCUCUGUCGUCUGAGCACUAUAUAAUAAGUUAAAA